rnacentral:misc_RNA from 1 species
GUUGGUUGCAUUGUAUUGACAUUCAUAUGCUGCAUACAAGCGUCAGAAUGCAUUACAGAGUUUAGCAUUAUCAAUUAAGUCUGGAUGAAAACACUGAAAAUUGAUUUCAAUUUUCUCUAAAAUGCAGAUUUUUGGAUGCUCUUUAAUCUUCUUAUGUACUGCUAAUCUUGAUGAAUUUGGUAUGAUUAAUCAAUUAUUCAAUGCAGCAAUAGUUAUUUGGGGCAGGAUUGGGGCUCAUGGGGGUGUUUAUUACAAUCAGGUCCAUUCUUAUUUUGAUGAGUUAAGGUGAAGACACAAAAGUAACCAUACAUUGUUUUCUUUAUGCUAUUUUAUCACGUCAAGAAAGUCUUUGAUAAUGUUCUUUCUGGUUCUGUGCCAUUAUGUUUUCUUCUCUGCACAAGUUUGUGUUAUUUUGUGCUGUUUCAAUAAGAUCAAUGGUAUUAGUAAUAUUAUGGAGGGUCUUUAACCAAAGAAUGACUAUUGUUUUCAUGUAGGAUGCAGCAUGGGAGUCUCUACAUGAGCUACACCAUUCUAGAGAGUUGAUCUCCCGUAAGUCUUGUGUUGACCUUUUCUUUCACAAAACUGUAGGAUGGAGA